rnacentral:rRNA from 1 species
UACGUAGGGUGCAAGCGUUGUCCGGAAUUAUUGGGCGUAAAGAGCUCGUAGGCGGUCUGUCGCGUCUGAUGUGAAAGCCCCGGGCUCAACCUGGGAAUGGCAUUGGAAACUGGCAGGCUCGAGUUUGGCAGAGGGGGGUGGAAUUCCGCGUGUAGCAGUGAAAUGCGUAGAGAUGCGGAGGAACACCGAUGGCGAAGGCAGCCCCCUGGGCUAAGACUGACGCUCAGGCACGAAAGCGUGGGGAGCAAACAGG